CGGGGUAUAGCGCAGUUUGGUAGCGCGCCUGCUUUGGGAGCAGGAGAUCGUGGGUUCAAAUCCCGCUGCCCCGA
rnacentral:tRNA from 1 species